UACGUAGGGGGCCUAGCGUUGUCCGGAUUUAUUGGGCGUAAAGAGCUCGUAGGCGGUUUGGUGAGUCGGGUGUGAAAUCUCCACGCUCAACGUGGAGGGGCCACCCGAUACUGCCAUGACUAGAGUCCGGUAGGGGAGUGUGGAAUUCCCGGUGUAGCGGUGAAAUGCGCAGGAUAUCGGGAGGAACACCAGUAGCGAAGGCGACACUCUGG
rnacentral:rRNA from 1 species